CGAAUUGCUGAAAUGAUCGAGGGCAUGAGUUUGCAGAGUCAGUUCUUGUCCUAAAUUUCGUAACUAAUUAGUAAUCAAUUCUUGAUGUGAGUGAAGUGGU